UACGAAGGGGGCUAGCGUUGCUCGGAAUCACUGGGCGUAAAGGGUGCGUAGGCGGGUUUUUAAGUCAGGGGUGAAAUCCUGGAGCUCAACUCCAGAACUGCCUUUGAUACUGAAGAUCUUGAGUUCGGGAGAGGUGAGUGGAACUGCGAGUGUAGAGGUGAAAUUCGUAGAUAUUCGCAAGAACACCGGUGGCGAAGGCGGCUCACUGGCCCGAUACUGACGCUGAGGCACGAAAGCGUGGGGAGCAAACAGG
rnacentral:rRNA from 1 species